CCAAGCCAGAAUUCCAGAUGGGGAAACAUUCAAGUGAAACUCAGAAUAUGGAGCCAGGGGAUGAAAAAUUUUCAGCAUUUUUUUCCCCAAAGGAGUAAAAUCUUGGCUCAGGUUUUCUAAGAUGGACUUUCACCUUAGAUUUGGCAAAAGGGAUUCUGGAGGUUCCAGGUUUGUAUCUCACUAACUAAAUACUCUGAAGAAAGUGAACUCCAUUUUCUUGAUCAUUUCAGCACAAAUCUUUGGACUGAUUAGGUUUGCAUGUCCAUUAUCCACACAAGCACUCUUAUUAAAGAAGGGACUGUGUGGAUUUUUGUAGCUAGCAAAAGAAAUUUCUUUUUUCUCAAAGCAAAAUCAGGCUGUGAUUACUACGGAAGAAUGAGUGCUGGAAGACAAAAUCAACAAAGGUAGAUUAGUCAUAUCCUCCUGAAUUUCUGGAGAACAUACAUUAUUUCUUAUUCUUCUAUGAAUCCUGCACCUACGCUGAGUGGUUAGCAAAGGGUAAUAGUCUUAC
rnacentral:lncRNA from 1 species